CCUACGGGAGGCUGCAGUGAGGAAUAUUGGUCAAUGGACGGAAGUCUGAACCAGCCAUGCCGCGUGCAGGAAGACGGCUCUAUGAGUUGUAAACUGCUUUUGUACAAGGGUAAACCUGAAUACGUGUAUUCAGCUGAAAGUACUGUACGAAUAAGGAUCGGCUAACUCCGUGCCAGCAGCCGCGGUAAUACGGAGGAUCCAAGCGUUAUCCGGAUUUAUUGGGUUUAAAGGGUGCGUAGGCGGAUUGAUAAGUUAGAGGUGAAAUUUCCGGGCUUAACCCGGGAACUGCCUCUAAUACUGGUGAUCUAGAGAGUAGAUGCGGUAGGCGGAAUGUAUGGUGUAGCGGUGAAAUGCUUAGAGAUCAGACAGAACACCGAUUGCGAAGGCAGCUUACCAAUCUAUAUCUGACGUUGAGGCACGAAAGCGUGGGGAGCAAACAGGAUUAGAUACCCUAGUAGUC
rnacentral:rRNA from 1 species